rnacentral:rRNA from 1 species
UGGGGAAUAUUGCACAAUGGGCGCAAGCCUGAUGCAGCCAUGCCGCGUGUGUGAAGAAGGCCUUCGGGUUGUAAAGCACUUUCAGCGAGGAGGAAGGUGGUGAGCUUAAUACGCUCAUCAAUUGACGUUACUCGCAGAAGAAGCACCGGCUAACUCCGUGCCAGCAGCCGCGGUAAUACGGAGGGUGCAAGCGUUAAUCGGAAUUACUGGGCGUAAAGCGCACGCAGGCGGUUUGUUAAGUCAGAUGUGAAAUCCCCGGGCUCAACCUGGGAACUGCAUUUGAAACUGGCAAGCUAGAGUCUCGUAGAGGGGGGUAGAAUUCCAGGUGUAGCGGUGAAAUGCGUAGAGAUCUGGAGGAAUACCGGUGGCGAAGGCGGCCCCCUGGACGAAGACUGACGCUCAGGUGCGAAAGCGUGGGGCAGCAAACAGGAUUAGAUACCCCUGGUAGUCCAGCGCUGUAAACGAUGUCGAUUUGGAGGUUGUGCCCUUGAGGCGUGGCUUCCGGAGCUAACGCGUUAAAUCGACCGCCUGGGGAGUACGGCCGCAAGGUUAAAACUUAAAUGAAUUGACGGGUCUAGCUGUUCC